UUCUAGUUUUUUUCUGCUGAUGAAGCAUCUUUUCAGGUCAUUGUGCCACUAUGCUGGACGAAAAGACGCAUUCCAACAUUCCUGGACGCCACAGGCACGUCAGGUCUGAGGAACUCAGGUGCAGACGUAGUUGGGAGAUGAUAAACAACACAAAGGGCUGUUUAUGGGCUGCUGUCAGCACCUCCUUCAUGACAGACAGGAUACCAAAGCAAAGAGUCCCUCCCUAACUGGUCUGAAUGCCACAUAAAGCAGAGGCAGCUGAAUGACUGACAGCAGUCUGAGGAAGAGCGACAGCAGAGCAGAGCAGCACAGAGUAGCACCAGGACAAUGGCUCCGUUAGGGAUGGCUGGCACGUUGGGGUGGUUUUCCUCCCCAGAGGUGGGUAUCAUCUCCCUCAUCGUCUUCCUCGUCCUCAGCAUCACCCUCCUCGCCCUCUGUGCCAGGUGUAAAAGGGGCAGCAGCAACGCCUACGACGUGAGCGGAACGACGCAGACUGAUGGAGGAGCAGGAGGAGUCAAUGGAACCGCUGCAACAAAGUCAGGAGCAGCUGUUGACCCGGGGACUACAACAUGGAGGGACCACAGAGCCAUGCCGCCCAACACUCUGGAGAGGACCCAUGCAGCAACCCACUAACCAUCCAUCCAACCAACCAACCAACCAACCAACCAACCAACCAUAGCCCUGAACACUAACCGCACAACCACAUGACAAACGCACCACACAAAACAGACAAUACAAGCAUGAAGGAGGACAAAACAUGCUCAACAUCCCAUCGAACAGAAACACUUGACUUUGUCCCAAAUGGACAGAUGGAUGGAAAAGGGUAGGAGGGAAAGUUGGCCUUGUCGUCUGCCAACUGGAGCUACCAUCCACACCUUCUCCUCAUCACGACGGGCCUUCACUUAUCUGAAUAGAGGUGGAACCUUUUUCUUUUGAAGUUCUCUCUAACUUAUAACUUUUAUUCUGAAUUUAUCUGACAAGGACUUUUCUUUCAUUCCCUCCAUAGUUUAAGUCCAUUGAUCACUUUCAAACAUGUACAAGCAUCUGGAUUGAUCUCACUGUGAGAGUCUGAUAAUUUGCAAUCACAAACGCAAAACUUGGACUUGAGCUAUUAAAAGGGGUUGUUACUUACUUGCCUAGUUUUUCAGCUAAUUUAAGUUCCUGACCCUGACUGAUGCUCAUUCAUGGUGAUUUUUACAUUUGUAGUAUGUGACUAGCAUAAUAGGACGCCCUGCUCUCUUCAGGAUGCAGAUGAAUUAAGACCCAGUUAAGAAAUGACUGCUUUCCACUGAGAAACAAACCUGGUACACGGACAAGAUCAGAUUUCUGUCAUGUAGCUUUUCACUGAGUAUAAUACAAUAUAAGACGGAAAUUUAAGGACCAAAACAGUCACUCUUUUAGUUUUUACUUCCACAUUCUGGAAACUAUACUUUCUUGUUGACAGAACUUAAAGAUUCUCAUCCCAACCCAGAAAGCAGGACAUGGUAGCUGAACAUAAAGACUUGGUUUUUAAUUGAACCACAAAAAGUUUCCUUUAGAUUAGAAGUGUCUUUAAAAAAAACAAGACAGGUAGCAGCACAAGUUAACAGGUUACAGACAUCCAUCCGUUUCUUUUCACUUAUCCAAGCUUGGGUUGCAACCGGCUAAGUAAGGCAUAGGUAUCCUUCUCCAUGGAGAUGUCUCCCUGUUCAUCCUGGUGGAUCCUGAGACUUCAUAGGUCAGAUGAGAUAUGGGUCUACUCUGAAACAUCUCCCAGUGGGAUUUGCCUAGAAAACCUCCACAGGAAGGACUCAGCUGGUGCAUUUUGACACCAAUUACUGAAACUCCCUCUGAAUAUCUGAGUCCAACCACCUGAUGCAUACAAACACCCAUUUGGCUGUUUUGUAUUUUCCAUCCCAUUCAGCACCCAAAGCUCAUGACCACUGGUGCGGGUUGGAAUGUGGACAGACUGGCAAAUCCAGAGGUUCCUCUUCAUCACAAUACCAAAAUAUUUACCUGAUUACAGUGUUGUGACCAUUUAUUGGCCUGCAGUAACUUCCUGGAGUCUCAUCGUAACAACAUUGUUGAUGCAGAAGUCAUUGAACUGGACCAAACACACAAAACUCCUUGUAAACUCAACUUCUGCAUUUACUCCUGGGAUUUAACAAAGAAGACAUAUCAUGGUGAGCAUUUGAAGUCUUUUUAGAUGUUUAAUUGUUUUAACUCUUGUAGAGACCUGGGCUAACCAUUACUGCUUGUUUCCAGUCUUCAUGCUAAGCUAAGCUAACCAGCUGUUGAUUGUAGCUGCUUUUUUGUUUGUUUUGUUUGUUUAACAGACAUGGUAUGAGUAUUUCCAUCUAACUCUUAGCAAGAAAACUGUAUUCUUGCUUUGCAAAAAUGUCAAACUGGUGCCUUUUCAUGUUGAAAUGCAUGCAGUGGAGUUUUGGGUAAAAGUCACAGAAGAUAAAGGAGGAUACUUUUGGUUUUGUGCUGUUUUUGUUGACAUUGGGAUUUUUCUGACCUUUUAUUUCCAAUGAAGGGAUAUCAGUCUCUCUCUUUUUGUUCUGGUCAGUGUGAACAAAGUCUGUGCUAUACUGUUACCUUUAUUCUAAACAAACUGAGCGAUGGUGAUAAGACGGGAGUGGCAGCUCUGAAAGGGAACUAAAGGUCUGAAGGCCUCAAAGCAGGGCGGAGUCGUCAUUCUUGUAAUGCCUGUUGUCAUGCCAUCCGUUGCCAUAUUCUCUACUGAACUGCUUAAAUAAAACACACCCAAGAGAGAAAACAA